rnacentral:rRNA from 1 species
GACCUUUCGGGGUUGGGGAAAGCGGCAAACGGGGUAGUAAUGUGUCGGUACGUGCCCUCAGGUCGGGGAUAGCCAGGGGAAACUCUGAUUAAUACCCGAUGAUCUCGAGAGAGCAAAGGUCCGCUGCCGGAGGAGCGGCCGACAUGGUAUCAGGUAGUUGGUGAGGUAACGGCCCACCAAGCCUUAGACGCCUAGGGGGCGUGAGAGCGCGACCCCCACCACUGGGACUGAGAUACUGCCCAGACACCUACGGGUGGCUGCAGUCGAGAAUCUUCCGCAAUGGGCGAAAGCCUGACGGAGCGACGCCGCGUGCGGGAUGAAGGCCCUUGGG